GAGUUUGAUCAUGGCUCAGGAUGAACGCUAGCGGCAGGCUUAACACAUGCAAGUCGAGGGGUAUUCUAGCAAUAGGAGAGACCGGCGCACGGGUGCGUAACGCGUAUGCAAUCUACCUUUCACAGAGGGAUAGCCCAGAGAAAUUUGGAUUAAUACCUCAUAGUAUAAUGACUCGGCAUCGAGAUAUUAUUAAAGUCACAACGGUGAAAGAUGAGCAUGCGUCCCAUUAGCUAGUUGGUAAGGUAACGGCUCACCAAGGCGACGAUGGGUAGGGGUCCUGAGAGGGAGAUCCCCCACACUGGUACUGAGACACGGACCAGACUCCUACGGGAGGCAGCAGUGAGGAAUAUUGGACAAUGGGCGCAAGCCUGAUCCAGCCAUGCCGCGUGCAGGAUGACGGUCCUAUGGAUUGUAAACUGCUUUUGCACAGGAAGAAACACCCCCUCGUGAGGGGGCUUGACGGUACUGUGAGAAUAAGGAUCGGCUAACUCCGUGCCAGCAGCCGCGGUAAUACGGAGGAUCCAAGCGUUAUCCGGAAUCAUUGGGUUUAAAGGGUCCGUAGGCGGUUUAGUAAGUCAGUGGUGAAAGCCCAUCGCUCAACGGUGGAACGGCCAUUGAUACUGCUAGACUUGAAUUAUUAGGAAGUAACUAGAAUAUGUAGUGUAGCGGUGAAAUGCUUAGAGAUUACAUGGAAUA
rnacentral:rRNA from 1 species